rnacentral:rRNA from 1 species
GAACGCGAAGAACCUUACCUACCCUUGACAUGUCUGGAAUCCUGAAGAGAUUUGGGAGUGCUCGAAAGAGAGCCAGAACACAGGUGCUGCAUGGCCGUCGUCAGCUCGUGUCGUGAGAUGUUGGGUUAAGUCCCGCAACGAGCGCAACCCUUGUCAUUAGUUGCUACGAAAGGGCACUCUAAUGAGACUGCCGGUGACAAACCGGAGGAAGGUGGGGAUGACGUCAGGUCCUCAUGGCCCUUAUGGGUAGGGCUACACACGUCAUACAAUGGCCGGUACAGAGGGCUGCCAACCCGCGAGGGGGAGCUAAUCCCAGAAAACCGGUCGUAGUCCGGAUCGCAGUCUGCAACUCGACUGCGUGAAGUCGGAAUCGCUAGUAAUCGCGGAUCAGCUUGCCGCGGUGAAUACGUUCCCGGGUCUUGUACACACC